GGGGGGAGCGGCGGUGGUGCGGGCAGGUGAGGAAGGGCAAGGGUGAGGGGUGUGGGUCUGGCGGGCUGGGGGCCUGGGGACCCGAGGGAGGGAAGAAACCGCAAAGGGGAGGAUGGGGAUGGGGCCUAAAAGGGCAGCGACCCUGAGGAAGGUCACCCGCCAGACAGGACUAGUGGGCCUGGUGUGAGGGGAGUGUGAGGGGGAGGCCUGCCUGAGCUUGUCCUGCCAUCUCAGGUUUCAGUAGAUCCCUCUGGGCCAGGGUUGGCCUGUCCCCGUCAGGAGGCCCCCCUCUGCCCCUGGCAGCCUUAGCCCCCAGGCGGAGGAGGUGGGCUAAGAGUCAUCCGUGUCAGGCCGGCACAGCACCUGUCCAGGGGCUCCAUAAAUGUCUGCUGAGUUGAACUGGGCCUGGCAAGGACUGCUACCAGCUCGGAUGCCAGCUGCCUUGCCCCCUGAGGAGUAUGCAAAGUCACCAGUGGGGUUUCCUUGCCUUGGCUCUGUGGACUGAGAGCUGGGGGGGGCAGGUGUCCAAGGUGUGCAUUCUUUCAGUUAUUUGGUAACUAUGUAGCGAUCACCAGCUCUGUGCUUGGCCCUGGGUUGGGUGCUGGGAAUAAAUACAGUGGAGAACUAAACAGCCAAGAUUUCUGUCUCUCGCAGAGCUUCCAUUCCAGCCAGGGGAAGAAAUAAGCAAAAUACAGUAGUCAGUUAGAAAGUGAAGAUGGCUAUUUGAAGAGACGAGGGGGCCAAGUGAGAAAGAACACAGAGUGGGGGGCAAGGGGUGUGAAAGAUGUUGCAAUUUUCAAUGGGAUGUUAGCCUUGGCUUCAUGGAAGUGACACUUGCCAAGGACUUCAAGAGGGUGAGAGAGAGCCUUGAGGACAUCUGGGGGGGAAGAGCAUUCUUGGCAUGGGAAACAGCAGCGCAAAGGCCCUUGGGGGUGAGGGGGAGAGAGCAUUUGGGGAGUUGGAGGAACAGCAAAGAAACCAGUGUGGCUGGGGUGGAGGGAGGGAGUCGAGGAAAGGCAGGAGGAAUUUCAGUUCAUGGCGGGCCUUGUGGGUCGUUGUAAUGACCUUGGCUUUUACUCUGGUGGAAUGGGACGUCCGUGCCGGACUUUUAACAGGAGUGUCACUUUGUGACCUACAUUUUAGGUAUGUCCACUAUGGCUGAGAACACUGCCAGUAGUUGGGGAGAGAGAUGGCUGGGGAGGCCCCAGGGUGAUAGCUGUGGCUGAGGUGAGGAUGCUGGGUGCUGGACAGUGUGACUGAGGCCGGAGCUGACGCUCUGGAGCUCCAGUGCUGAGGAAACACUGUCCCCAGCAGCGGCACCCCUUCCAGGGACCUCACUCCAGCUUCACAUGGGUUUGUCUCCUGUCUCCUCAGCAGCCCUGGGGCUGUUCUUGGGGAGAACAGACAUGGCGGACAGCGGUUCACCAUGAGGAAUCUGAAAGGAGACAUUGGACGUUAGGAAAGGAAGGUCAGGAGAUGACUUCUGCCGUGACCAGCAUAACCUUCAGGCACCCCCAAGGACCUGUGUCGAAGGUGACCUGAAGGGUCUCAGGUGUUGGGGACAAGCUCCAGGAAAGGGACAUGUCUUAGCAGAGGACCCUUUGGUGCCUGGUGCCUUCGGUUCUGCCAAGAGGGAACAGGAAGAACAGGAGGAGAAAUGUCCACAGGAGAUAUUUCCCCUCCCCCUCAGACCCUCAUAUUCUCCUCGAGGCUCUGGCAUGGCGAUCUGUCUCUCCAGACAUUUGCCUGGAAUGUUCUGUCCCCUCUGGUCCAGGAGGGAAAUUCCUGUGUGUUCUUGGAGCCCCAGGCCAUGCUAGGGCUUCUAACAACAAGCUUUGUAGUGACCUUUAAGACUGCCUCAGUGGCCACGCUGGAAUGUGAAUUAUCAGAGUUCCACUUAUGUCCCCCUACGUGAUGAGUUCCGAGACAAGGCGAAUGUCGUCAUGAGGGCGGAGUGGAGCCUGGACCCUAACCCAGGAGGUGCCUCCUGGGCAGUGACAUUUCACCUCUCCACACCUUACAUGCCUCCAGCUCCUCAGCUAGCAUACCUAUUCGGUAGAGUUGGUGGAGAAUUAAAUAAGAAAAUACAAGCAAAGCACUUUAAAAUGGCAUUGACCCACCAUAAGAGUGCAAAAAACGUGAGCUCUCAUUCUGUGUCUCUGUACCCCCCUCGGACCCAGCAUAGGAACGAUGUAGGAGUUUGAGUGAACGAAUGAGGCUGGCGAUCUUCAAGAUCCGGACUCAGCCUGCAAAUGUUUUCCUUUUGGACUUAACAGAACAGUGUCUGUGACUGCAUCUGAGGCUUCCACCUUCACCACAGGCCACCCUGGAAGUAGUGGACACCCAACAGAGUCCUCAAGGUCAUUUGCUUGAGCCCUGAGGUUGCUGGGGUGUAGGGACUGGCAGCAGAAGCUGACCAACACUGUCAGCCUGACCGGCCAAGGGAAAGAACUUUCUGGCCCCUCAUUGUGCAGAGCCCCAGAGAGGGCCCCUCGGUCUGGACUCAGCCCCACAUCUGUGAUGUUUUGGUCCUCCCCGUGGCCCCAGCCGCUCUGGCAGCUGCCGUGACAACCCUGGAGACACACAAGAGAUGGCAGGUGGAGAAGUCCCCCAGAUUGUUUUCCAGGCACUGGUAUUACAGGUUUGACAAAGAUGUGAAAAAUCACAGCUUGUAGGCCAACCCCCGAGGCUGGCGAUGCCCAGAAGGAAAGAAGCUAAGUGGAAGAUGGCUCAGGAAAUAUGAGUCCUGGCUAAUCCCUAGAGUAAAUCUGGCUUGCCGGAGCGGUGAGGGCGGGCUGAAGGCUCAGAGCAAAGGCCGGUACAAACAGGGGCGCCCCUAUGGUCUGGAAACCUACAAUUCCCCUUCCCCCCGAAAGCCUGGGUCUCCUUUACAACUAGAAUAGCGGGGAGCGUCUCAGUGGCUCAGUGGGGUAAGCGUCUGACUUCAGUUCAGGUUAUGAUUUCAUGGUUGGUGAGUUCGAGCCCCAUAUCGCCCCACAUCGCCCCACAUCGCCCCACAUCGGGCUCUGUGCUGAGAGCUCAGAGCCUGGAGCCUGCUUCCGAUCUGUGUCUCCCUCUCUCUCUGCCCUUCCCCCACUCGCACUCUGUCUCUCUCUCUCUCUCUCUCUC